GGAUUCCCUUAGUAACGGCGAGUGAACAGGGAACAAGCUCAAAGUUGGAAUCUAUCUGGCUUAGCCAGAUCGAAUUGUAAACUUUAGAGUCGUUGUCCAGACCAGCCGAGUAAAUAAGUUCCUUGGAAUAGGACAUCAUGGAGGGUGAGAAUCCCGUCUUUGGCUUGAGCAUUGGUCUUUUGUGAUGCGACUUCAACGAGUCAGGUUGUUUGGGAAUGCAGCCUUAAUUGGGUGGUAAAUCUCACCUAAAGCUAAAUAUUGGCGAGAGACCGAUAGCGAACAAGUACCGUGAGGGAAAGAUGAAAAGAACUUUGAAAAGAGAGUUAAACAGUAUGUGAAAUUGCUAAAAGGGAACCGUUUGAAGUCAGUCUGGCUGGUCUGCAAUCAGCUUCAAUCUUGGUUGGAGUGCACUUGUAGGCCAUUUUUUGCCUGCCAACAACAGUUUGUUCUGCAGCAAAAAGGUGUUGAGAAUGUGGCUUUCUCUUCGGAGGAAGUGUUAUAGCUCUUCGCGAAAUACUGUGGUUCAGACUGAGGCUUGCAGUGAAUGCUAUUUGGGCUUUGGGGAUGGAUUGCUCAGUGCUUUGCUUGGUUAGUUUCGGCCGUCAAACGUCGUGCUGGCCAAGUGAAGUCUGACUCGGUUCAUUCACUUUUAAUUCACUUUGGU
rnacentral:rRNA from 1 species